GAGGUAUCGUAAUUGAAGAGGUUUGGAAAGACCCACCACAGAAGGUAAUAGUCCUGUAUGUUAAACGAGAAGACUUUAGAUAUGAUCCAGAGUACCACGGGACACGUGAAACCCUGUGGGAAGCAGGAGGGACCACCCUCCAAGGCUAAAUACUACCUAGUGACCGAUAGCGUAUAGUACCGUGAGGGAAAGGUGAAAAGAACCCCGGGAGGGGAGUGAAAUAGAACCUGAAACCCUGCACUUACAAGCUGUGGAAGCACAUUUCUUGUGUGACCGCGUACUUUUUGUAGAACGGGCCAACGAGUUACGUUAAGUAG
rnacentral:rRNA from 1 species